rnacentral:rRNA from 1 species
GAAAAGGAUUUAUUCGCUUCAGGAUGGACUCGCGUCCAAUUAGCUAGUUGGUGAGGUAACGGCCCACCAAGGCGACGAUUGGUAGCCGGACUGAGAGGUUGAACGGCCACAUUGGGACUGAGACACGGCCCAGACUCCUACGGGAGGCAGCAGUGGGGGAUAUUGCACAAUGGGGGAAACCCUGAUGCAGCGGCGCCGCGUGGAGGAAGAAGGUUUUCGGAUUGUAAACUCCUGUCGUUAGGGACGAUAAUGACGGUACCUAACAAGAAAGCACCGGCUAACUACGUGCCAGCAGCCGCGGUAAAACGUAGGGUGCAAGCGUUGUCCGGAAUUACUGGGUGUAAAGGGAGCGCAGGCGGACCGGCAAGUUGGAAGUGAAAACUAUGGGCUCAACCCAUAAAUUGCUUUCAAAACUGCUGGCCUUGAGUAGUGCAGAGGUAGGUGGAAUUCCCGGUGUAGCGGUGGAAUGCGUAGAUAUCGGGAGGAACACCAGUGGCGAAGGCGACCUACUGGGCACCAACUGACGCUGAGGCUCGAAAGCAUGGGUAGCAAACAGGAUUAGAUACCCUGGUAGUCCAUGCCGUAAACGAUGAUUACUAGGUGUUGGAGGAUUGACCCCUUCAGUGCC